CCAGAUAACACCAUACUAGCUUUUAAAAAAAGGGAAAAAUUGUAGAUGGACACAAUCUUUAUUUAUUAUGUGGUGCCGAGGAUAGAACCCAGUGCCUCACACCUCUCAUGUGCAAGGCACGUGCUCUACCACUGAGCCCCAGCCUCAGUCCCAUAGUAGCUUUUUUGGUGAGUCAAACCCCAACACUAACUUGGGUACUGAUGUGAAGCCAUUAGAUAGCAUUAAUUAAUCCCCAUCAGAUGACUUCAAUUAAGGGAGAUUAUCCAGAGUAAUCCAAGCAGCUGAUUCAGUCAGUCAAAAGCAUUUAAAAGCAAGAUUGAGGUGCCCUCCAAGAAAUCUGACCCAGGACAGCAGCUUUCAGUGGUGUCAUGAGUCUUAGUCACAUGAACCAAUUCCAGAAAGUAAAUUAAAUGUGUGAAUUUAAGAACCCAAUGGCUUCUGCUGGCACCUGGAUAAGGCUAACUUUAAAGAUAAGCCACAAAAAUGGCCAUUAACAUUCAAGGUCAAGAGGCUAGACACCUGUGGAAAUCUGAGGCGCACCCAUUAAGUCCUCUCUAAGACACAAUUAGGAAGCUAGGCCUGCCACUUUUCUGACUGUAGAUAACUCUGAGCAACGUGACCUCUCUGAACCCUGGGGUUUGGCAAAUGAGAAUGGCAGAUGCCUGCUAGUGACUGACACAUAGCCCUGGCAUUCCUAGACUGGAGAUAGAGUUCUGUGGAACAGCACUUGCCUAAUAUGCUUAAGGUGCUGGGCUGGAUCCUCAGUACUAUAAGAAUAAAAC
rnacentral:lncRNA from 1 species